AGUGAACGCUGGCGGUAGGCCUAACACAUGCAAGUCGAACGGCAGCACAGUAAGAGCUUGCUCUUACGGGUGGCGAGUGGCGGACGGGUGAGGAAUACAUCGGAAUCUACUUUUUCGUGGGGGAUAACGUAGGGAAACUUACGCUAAUACCGCAUACGACCUACGGGUGAAAGCAGGGGAUCUUCGGACCUUGCGCGAUUGAAUGAGCCGAUGUCGGAUUAGCUGGUUGGCGGGGUAAAGGCCCACCAAGGCGACGAUCCGUAGCUGGUCUGAGAGGAUGAUCAGCCACACUGGAACUGAGACACGGUCCAGACUCCUACGGGAGGCAGCAGUGGGGAAUAUUGGACAAUGGGCGCAAGCCUGAUCCAGCCAUACCGCGUGGGUGAAGAAGGCCUUCGGGUUGUAAAGCCCUUUUGUUGGGAAAGAAAAGCAGCAGGUUAAUACCCCGUUGUUCUGACGGUACCCAAAGAAUAAGCACCGGCUAACUUCGUG
rnacentral:rRNA from 1 species